rnacentral:lncRNA from 1 species
AAAACAAUUAUGAAGAAACAGGCUAAUUCCACUGCUUUUCCAAAAUAGAUUCAUCAUCGGUUAUUCACAGAUCAUUGUUCAAUUGAUUAUUGUUUAAGUUUCAAAUUAAUUAAAGUACAUUCUUAAUUAAUUUGAUGGCGACCAUGCAGUUAAUCAAAGUACAUUCUCAAUCAAAUGCAAGACCUUUCUAGAUUAUUCANAAUAAAUUCAACCAAAGUACAUUCUCAAUCAAGUUUAUUGUGUUUAAUCAUGUCUAUUNUUAANUCUCUUAACCAAAUUAAAAGUUAAUCAAUCAAAGUAAAUUCUCAAUUGAUUUUAGUUGAAAUUAUUACUACCAACCAAAGUACAUUCUCAAUUGAUAGUAAAAACCAUUUAAUCAUAUGAAAGUUCCUAAAUUAAAUCAAAGUAGAUUCUCAAUUAAACCUAGAAACCCUAGAACUCGUAUAAUUAAUAUGCAUGUAGAUUCAAACACAUAAUGAUGCAAAAAUCUUUGCUUUUAAUAUGAUAGAGAGAUGAAAGACAUAGAAAGAGAACAACUUAAAUCAAUAAUCAAAAUAAACAAUUGCAUUAAUUCACUUAACCUCAGAAUCCAUAAUGAAAUUACAGUAGAAUAGCCCU